rnacentral:lncRNA from 1 species
GUUUCAGGUUGACCAUCAGCAUAGUGCCCAUGUGGAGCUGGCACUUCCCGUACCUCUGCGCUGGGUGAGAGCCUUAGGGGCCUAGGAUCACCCCAGACUGGGCACUGGGUAUCGAGUGUUGGGCACUGGGCAGUAGGCAGUGGACAGCAGGCAGGAAGACAAAAGGGGUUUUGCUUAGUGGAUCGAAACUGGUAGCAGGCCUCAGGCCAGGCGGUUGCAGUCACAUGUUAAUGAAUGGAACAGGAGUGGACGCAUCUGAUGCGGCUGGCGGUUCUGUCAACUGAUUCUCAUCUGUUGUGUGUGUCUCCUGAGGUCAAUGAAUUGGGA